UACGAAGGGGCUAGCGUUGUUCGGAAUCACUGGGCGUAAAGGGCGCGUAGGCGGGCGGCCAAGUCCGGGGUGAAAGCCUCCAGCUCAACUGGAGAAGUGCCUCGGAUACUGGCCAUCUUGAGGGAGGUAGGGGCGUGCGGAACUUCCGGUGGAGCGGUGAAAUGCGUAGAUAUCGGAAGGAACACCGGUGGCGAAAGCGGCGCGCUGGACCUCUUCUGACGCUGAGGAGCGAAAGCGUGGGGAGCGAAGAGG
rnacentral:rRNA from 1 species